UACGGGGGGAGCAAGCGUUGUUCGGAAUUACUGGGCGUAAAGGGCGCGUAGGCGGCCUGCUAAGUCGAACGUGAAAUCCCCGGGCUCAACCCGGGAACUGCGUCCGAUACUGGCAGGCUUGAAUUCGGGAGAGGGAUGCGGAAUUCCAGGUGUAGCGGUGAAAUGCGCAGAUAUCGGGAGGAACACCCGUAGCGAAGGCGGCACUCUGGGCCGGAACUGACGCUGAGGAGCGAAAGCGUGGGGAGCAAACAGG
rnacentral:rRNA from 1 species